rnacentral:rRNA from 1 species
GACGAACGCUGGCGGCGUGCUUAACACAUGCAAGUGGAGCGACGAACCAGGGCUUGCCCUGGGGCAGAGCCGCGAACGGGUGAGUAACACGUGGGUAACCUACCCCGAUGACCGGGACAACCCGAGGAAACUCGGGCUAAUACCGGAUGUUCUCGUUUCUCGUAAGGGAACCGAGCAAAGAUAGCUUUUAGCCUUCGCAUCGGGACGGGCCCGCGGCCCAUUAGCUUGUUGGUGAGGUAACGGCUCACCAAGGCNGCGAUGGGUAGCUGGUCUGAGAGGACGAUCAGCCACACUGGGACUGAGACACGGCCCAGACUCCUACGGGAGGCAGCAGUGGGGAAUCUUGCGCAAUGCGCGAAAGCGUGACGCAGCAACGCCGCGUGGGGGAAGAAGGCCUU